rnacentral:rRNA from 1 species
GUGGGGAAUAUUGGACAAUGGGCGCAAGCCUGAUCCAGCCAUGCCGCGUGAGUGAUGAAGGCCCUAGGGUUGUAAAGCUCUUUCACCGGUGAAGAUAAUGACGGUAACCGGAGAAGAAGCCCCGGCUAACUUCGUGCCAGCAGCCGCGGUAAUACGAAGGGGGCUAGCGUUGUUCGGAAUUACUGGGCGUAAAGCGCACGUAGGCGGACAUUUAAGUCAGGGGUGAAAUCCCAGAGCUCAACUCUGGAACUGCCUUUGAUACUGGGUGUCUUGAGUAUGGAAGAGGUAAGUGGAAUUCCGAGUGUAGAGGUGAAAUUCGUAGAUAUUCGGAGGAACACCAGUGGCGAAGGCGGCUUACUGGUCCAUUACUGACGCUGAUGUGCGAAAGCGUGGGGAGCAAACAGGAUUAGAUACCCUUGUAGUCC